GGUUCGAUGGUGUAGUUGGUUAUCACGUCAGUCUAACAUCCCAGUUGGUUCACUGAAGGUCUCCAGUUCAAGUCUGGGUCGAAUCA